rnacentral:rRNA from 1 species
UAGUGCCUACGGGACGCAGCAGUGAGGAAUAUUGGUCAAUGGACGCAAGUCUGAACCAGCCAUGCCGCGUGCAGGAUGACGGCUCUAUGGGUUGUAAACUUCUUUUAUAAAGGAAUAAAACGAGGCACGUGUGCCUUUUUGCAUGUACUUUAUGAAUAAGGAUCGGCUAACUCCGUGCCAGCAGCCGCGGUAAUACGGAGGAUCCGAGCGUUAUCCGGAUUUAUUGGGUUUAAAGGGAGCGUAGAUGGGUUGUUA